GGUAACCCAGCUUUAUGAGCUGUCAUUUCUAAACCUUGUUGAAAAAAUCUUCUUUCUCAAUUAUAGCAGCUCCUGGAGAAGAUCAAUCGUCUGGCAAAAAUAAAUGGUUCUCUUCUCAAUCUUAAACCUUCGGUUCUUCUUCAACACCAUCCGCGAUCGACUUCAGCGAUUGUAAUAUCCAGACCAUUAUUUCUCUGGGCAAGGUGAGUGGUAUUCUUCAUUUUUAAACCCCUUGUUGCCAGUAUAUGCGCAUGCUCAUUAACUGUUCGUCUGACAUGUUGAAACUUACACUCGUAGAAGGCCUUACUCAGUUCUUUAAUAUUAUGGAUGUGUGCCCCUAUUACCGAUUUAUCUCUAUUUCUGCUUUUGACUCUUUUAAUAAUUGCCAGGGAAUCUCCUUCAAUUUCCACAUAUUUUAACCCCAGAAUCUUCCCCAUUUCAAGUCCGUGUAAACAUGCAAGGGCUUCAGCUGCAAGGUACAUUUUCGUUUAUUGUGGUUGUUGAAUUCAUGACAUCCCCAUUACAGUCUCUGAUGAUGAUUCCUGAGCAUGAUCUGUAGUUUUUAGUAUCCACUGCAGCAUCGAAAUUGAUUUUGCAGAACCCUUGCUCCGGAGGCUUCCACAGCUCUUGAGACAUUCUUGAUGUAGGAUAUAUCUGCUUUAUGGUGUUCAGCUCUUGGAGAUACUCUAAUAUAAAUCUUGCUGUCUCUGUUCCAGAUCUCCGUCGUCCUUCAUAGAUCCAUUGAUUUCUAGCAUGCCAGAUAGCCCAGAUAGCGCAAAUGAACAUACGGCAACUGUCGUUCUCUUUGUUUAGCAUGAACCAGGUAAACCAAUCCAAGAACUCCAAAUGAGAUAAAUCCUGGGGCCAAUCAUAUCGUAAUGUAUUCCAUGUUUCUUUUGUAACAGUGCAAUCACGGAAUAUAUGCUCCCUGUUCUCCAGGCCUUUCUUGCAUCUUGGACAUACUCCCUCGUUUGUUAAUCUUUUGAUUCUUAGAUUCACUAGAGUAGGCAAAUAAUUUAAGGUGGCUCUCGAAACUGUAAUAAGUAUUUUUGAAGGGAGGUCACUAUCCCAUAGCUUGUAACUAUUAUUAGUAAGCAAGUUACCAUGUAAUAACAAUUUAUACCCACUUCGCACUGAGUAUUCACCUGUUGACUCCCCCCUCCAAGCCAGAAAGUUGUCGUGGGGAAUUGUAGUGAGCGGGAUUUGGAGAAUUUUUUGGACAUCAUCUGUUGAGAAGGUGUGUUCGAGCAGCUCUGUUUUCCAUGACCUAUUGUUACUGUCGAUUAGAUCUGCUACCCUCGUUUUACUCUGAUUUCUCACCCCCUGUUGAAUAUGUAAAUUUUCAGCAUUCGGAACCCAUAUAUCCUCUUCAAUUCGAACAUCUCGUCCGUUGCCAAUUCGCCAACAAAGUCCCGACAACAAGAGACCCUUUGCAGCCCAUAUACUUUUCCAAGUGUAUGAGGGUAAGUUUCCUAGUUCUGAGUUUAGGAACUCUGAAUUUGGAUGAUAUUUAGCUUUUAAGGUUUUCGCUAGAAGAGAAGUAGGAUUUUCAAUUAGUCUCCAGCCUUGCUUCGCGAGAAGAGCCAGGUUAAAUUUUGUCAAAUUGCGAUAUCCAAGGCCUCCAUUCUCCUUUAGUUCACAUAAAUUACUCCAAGAGCACCAAUGUAUCCGUCGUUUCCCAUACCCUUUUUGCCACCAGAAAUUUGCUAUUAUUUUUUCAAUGUCUUCACAUACUGAUUUUGGUAACAG
rnacentral:lncRNA from 1 species